rnacentral:tRNA from 1 species
UAAAAGAUAGACUAAAUUUAAGUCGUUAAUUUCAUAAUUUAAAAAUAAAUUUUAAAAUUUUCUUUUAA